rnacentral:rRNA from 1 species
AACGAACGCUGGCGGCAGGCUUAACACAUGCAAGUCGAGCGCCCCGCAAGGGGAGCGGCAGACGGGUGAGUAACGCGUGGGAACGUACCCUUUGCUACGGAAUAGCUCCGGGAAACUGGAAUUAAUACCGUAUGUGCCCUACGGGGGAAAGAUUUAUCGGCAAAGGAUCGGCCCGCGUUGGAUUAGCUAGUUGGUGGGGUAAUGGCCUACCAAGGCGACGAUCCAUAGCUGGUCUGAGAGGAUGAUCAGCCACAUUGGGGCUGAGACACGGCCCAAACUCCUACGGGAGGCAGCAGUGGGGAAUAUUGGACAAUGGGCGCAAGCCUGAUCCAGCCAUGCCGCGUGAGUGAUGAGGGCCUUAGGGUUGUAAAGCUCUUUCACCGGAGAAGAUAAUGACGGUAUCCGGAGAAGAAGCCCCGGCUAACUUCGUGCCAGCCGCCGCAGUAAAAC